UUAUAAUAACCUCCGAAUGACGUCGUAUAAGAAAAAAUAUAAAAAUCUGAUUAUAUAAAAAAUAUUUAAGAUUGUUUCACAUAUCAAUGUUUCCAAGCAUUGAUGCAUCUACCUGAAUUCUUCUACGAUGCUCCAAAGAUAUCUGUCAAUAUUAGACGGCGACAAUCGCAUAAAACCAACUCUGCCUUGUCUGCUCUGUUUACGCCUUUUGUUAUAGAUCGAAAACAGAUAUCUGAUAUAAAUUAUUAAGUGAAUUACAAUACGUUUAUAUAUAUGAGGGUUAACCCACUGGGUUUGGAUUUAAAUUGUCAUAUCCAUUAUUUUUAUUUCAAAUAAAUCCUCUCAAAGUAGGUUAACCCUACAAAAAGUUCCAACGUAAACAUGGCAUAAGUCAAUGUUUGUAUAAGAUUAGAUUUGUGUAGAAUAUUUAAAUAAAACCGGAUUCUUUAAACUGCAAUAUCAGUCUCAUUGCAUAGUCGGCAUAUAUUGCAUUUUGUGCAAAUUGCCUUCCUGUCAUCUUCCUUUAAAAUUUGCAAUUGAUUUAAAACAUCAACAAGCCACAAGGAAAAGCAUGGUUAAAACAUAAUAAUAAAUAUUUGCGCGAUUUUGACUUAACUCUUGUUUAUUAGCAUAAAUUGUAGCAUUUUGGAAAGAUUACGAAUUCUGUCAUCAGUUUACAAAUGUAAUGGUUGGUCAGCCUCGCUGCAUUCUAGGUCUUACAACACUGUCCGCUGCCAUUGAUAAAAUUCUCACAUCCGAUACCCGACUUACCACCAUACAUGCUGACCUUUGUCAACAACUAAAUUAAAACGAAGUGUUUGUUAGAAAAUGCUUCCAGAGGAGGAUUUCUGCCCUGACCACCAGUGGAAUAUCAGAAAAUUGGAAAAUUUGUUUUACCAAAAUCUGACUUGGAGAACAUUUUAUUUGCCAAAAUACUCGUAAGGGCUUCCACUUUCAUUUGGCAUUCACAGUUUUUUGGACGUUUUUAUAUGGAGGCUUCCAGAGACUGAUUCCCGUCCUGACCACCAGUGGAAUAUCAGAAAAUUGGAAAAUUUGUUCUACCAAAAACAGACUUGGAGAACAUUUUAUAUGUCAAAAUACUCGUAAGGGCUUCCACUUUCAUUUGGCAUUCACAAUUUUUUGGACGUUUUUAUAUGGAGGCUUCCAGAGCCAGAUGCCCGUCCUGACCACCAGCUGAAUAUCAGGAAAUUGGAAAAUUUGUUCUACCAAAAACUGACUUGGAGAACAAUUUAUAUGCCAAAAUACUCGUAAGGGCUUUCACUUUUAUUUUGGCAUUCACAGUUUUUUAGACGUUUUUAUAUGGAGAUUUUCAGAGCCUGAUUCCCGUCCUCACCACCAGUGGAAUAUCAUCUCAAAUAUCUCAAAAAUCUUGUUGUAUCAUAAACUGAUUUGCGAUAUUAUAUAUGGAAUUAAUAACUGGGGUAUGAGGAUUCAUCAUCGAACAACAUUUGUAUAUAUCAGGGACAUUUCCAUUCAUAACUUUAUAAAUAAAUUUUGUUUUCAAAUUGGUUCCAGGUUUUUUCUCUGACGCACAGUUGAAAAAAAGUAUUAAAUGUGAAAUUUCGAUGUUCUGAGACACCCUGUAGUUUUGGUGAAAUUCGAUGUUAUCGAUAGUUAGCAACGUUGUUAACUUCACGCAGGUUGACGAAAAACGAUUUAUGUGUCCAACCAUGGCCCAAUUAUAAGGUCUUCGAGCGAAUUAAUCUAAAAACAGCUGUUAUUUUACCCGAUGAAAUGACAAAAUUCAUGCUUGAGGCGAAAAUAAAUAGAAGAAUUUUGUGGCGAAUAUGUUUGUUGUCAUUUUUUGUAUGUAUAACACAUGGUAGAAAAAUACAGGUAGACGCAUCGACGCAGCUGCUGGGACAAUGAACCGUCAAACCGAAUUUGAAAUUAUAAAUGUUAAACAAAAAAUUGUUGAUAUUUGUAAAAAUUGCAUAUCAUAACAACCUCCAAUUUGCGUCGUAUUAGAAAACGUAUAAAAAUCUACUUGUUUUUGACAAAACAUUUUAACAAUUUUGACAUAUCAAUGUUCCCAAGCAUUGCAAUAAUUUUUGAAUAAUUUUUCAUUUUAAAUUGUUAACUUAAAAAUUGGUUUGACAGUUCAUUGCCCCAGCAGCUAUGCAAUGCGACUACCUGUAUUCUUCUACCAUCUUUUGAAGAUAGUUUUUGUUGCAGCGAAUUCAAAUUUAAUUGACAGAUCGUCUGGUAAUCAGCUGAGCUGGAAGGGGGACCUUAUACUUGGAUCUUGUGUCCAACAACAUCACUUUUUUAUAUAUCGACAAUUCUUCAUUAAUUUGUAUGGGAGAUUUUAACCUUCCUGGUGUUUCUUGGAUCUCAGGUGAGAAUAUUCUACACUAUUUUCCCUCAUCACACACAAUUGGUUUUGAUGCAUUUUGAGACAUUAUAUUUGAACACUGCUUUAUAAAGUGAAUCACAUUUGUGUAUUGAUAGGAGUUUUACUGAAAGCUGUUCGUUUACCUAAAAGUCCAAUAAUUGAUAGGAAAAAAAAAAGUUAUUAAACUUAUUAACGAAAUUGGAUUUCUAUAUCCAUGGAUUCUAUAUCGCGGAUAAAGAUGAAAAAUAAACAAAUUAGGCGCGGAUGAAGAGCUAAUUUGUUUAUAUAGGUGUCAAAUACAGCUAAAAAUUCUCCAUAUGGGGAACACCAUUCACCAUGCUGAUGCAGGAAUAAUAUGUAUUUUUUUGUCGAACGUUCCCACGCCUCACAUUCUUACCCCUGUCGACCGAUGGGUGACCUCCCUUAACGUGGGAAUUUAGUAGAACAUUAAAAACCAGCUACAGCUUCUAAUUCACAAGCUAGUUUGUCAAAUAAUAAAAACAUGUAUUUUAAUUGUUGAAAGAUAAAAUUAUUCUAGAUUUAAUUACUUCUUAACUCAUACCAAAAUCUACAUUGCAGUACACAGAAUUAAAGUCAACACAUCUUUUUCUAGGAAGUUCGCCAUAGAAUAAUUCGUGAGGUGAAAAUCGGUAUAUAAUAAUCGGUAGUAUCUACUAGAUCUAAACGGAACAUUAAUUCUAAUAGAUGAGAUUGGGAAAUCUGAUGGUAUAUUACUAUUUAAUAAUUUUAGUACAAACAUGGAGUUCAACAUAAUAUGUCUGCUUUUAAGUGUAGGCAAUAUAAUUAAUUUUAGCCUGCUAGCAUAAGAAGGCUACAAAAUUACUGCUCCAAUGUUAACCUCGUGAGGCAAAUAGCAGAAAUUGUUUUUGCACGGAUUGUAUUUUAUCUGAGUAUAUUGCAUAUUGAGGAUCCCAUACAACAGAACCAUAUUCUAAUAUAAGUCUAACCAUGGUACAGUAAAAAGGUAAAUUGUAGCUGGCAGCUGAUUAAAAUUUUUUCUGAGUGUGCCCGACUUCUGCCAAUUUUGCGUAAGUAUUUAUUGUUUUGUAAAAUGAAAACAAAAUAUUUUCAAAACCAAUGUUUGGAGGACACAUACAUUGCGGUUGGCGCAUUUAAGCUUUUCACCAGUUUAGCCAUGAUAUUGGAAGGUUGAACAGUUUGGACCAUAUUUUUGAGAGAAAAUCCAGGCUUUUUGCGCUAUUUAACCCAUUUUAAAAGUGAGGUAAAAUUUGAAAAAAUAAAAAAAUGAAAACUACUUGUUGUAUGUAAUUUUGAAUGAGUCUGACAGUAAGCGUCAGGACUGUAUUUAUGUAAUUUUAUGAAGCUGUUCUAUCUCCUUAUUGUACCCUGGGGCUAUUGUAAAUAACUGUUUUGUUGUAUAUGGAUACGAAAAUUUUUUGGCCCACCGUUUAACAAAACCUUUAUUUACCAUUGCUAUUAAAAUUUAAUUUUGCAUUCGCCGAGAGGUCAAAUUCGACAAAUGAAUCUGCAGUUGAUAAUGAUAAUAAUAAUAAAGAAGAUCUGGAGAAGCACAUAUGCUUAGAUUUGCUUAAAUUUAAAUCCAUACAAUUUUACCUGUACCAUAGAAAAAGGCUAUCUAAAUCGUUUUGAAGUAAAUUAGCUUGUUUAUCGCAAUUAUGGGAAAUUAAUAAUUUAACAAUUUCGAGUAAUUUAUGGAAAGAGAUAAACCGUUGAUAAAUAAAAGAAAGAGGACCGGUCCAAGGUGACUUCCGUGAUCUAUCUUGUAAGUAAGAUGAUAUCCACUUGACUAAAGUUUGUGCUGAAACCCAAAUAAUUUAAUUUAUAUAUUAGGAGUAAAAGUAACUAAGUCUUUUUCGUCAAAGGCGUAAUAUUUGAAUAAAUGGUAUGGAAGGCUAUACACAAUCUGCAGGAACCAGUCAUGAAAAUUGAGAAGCUUUGCAAUGUGAGCUUAGCCCUGUGAUGAAAGUCUCUGAUGAAAGUCAGCGUAUGUUGGUCGACCUCCAUUCUCCUGCUCCUUGGCACCUUGAUAAAGAAGUCAAUGUUGCUUACUAAUUUUACAAACAUAACAUACAUAUGUCAUUUUUGUCUGUUAUUUUCAGUAGUCGUUUUUAGAUUGUAUUUUUUUGCAAUUACUGCUUUUAUUGUGUGUGUUUUGUAAAUUUCGUAUGUGUUUAUGGUAGGACAUCAAUGACUUAUGUAUGUUUCAUUUAAUAUGUCAUAAAUUGCUUUUUCAAGAUACACCUAAGUCUGUUUUUACACGGUCUUUUUGUACACGGUUUUGAUAUGACACGUUUUGAAAAUUGAAUAUUUUUAAUUUAUGUACACGAUUUUCUUCCAUUUAGCACGAUUUGAAAUUUUAUGUACUUAAUUUUUUGUCAAAUUUAAUUUUUGCGAAGUAUGUUCAUAUCACAAAAAAGUCUUUAUGAAAGAAAAAAGUCUGAAACCAUCGAUAGUUUGCGAACACUAGCUUAAAGAUUUAAGUGAAUUCCCCUUUAGCGCGUACAAACAAUUUUUACUGGUCAAACCAAAUGUGAAUAGCACUAUGUGCAUACAAUAAAAUUUACUGGUCAGAGCAAUUGAAACGUAUUAAUAUUUUGUGAACUGUUAAGGCAAUAAGACGUUUUUGGUAAAGAAAAAAAUAAAAAUUCUUGUUUUUCACUAAUUUUAAUAGGUUUUAGAGAUUAGGAACAAAUCACCCAUUUUUGUAUAAGAUCAAUGUCUUUUUUACACGGUUUUUUUUUUACACGGCUUCUUCUGGAACCAAUCUACCGUGUAAAAACAGACUUAGGUGUACUUAUUUUUUGCGACUUUAUGUUUUCUAAUGGUCUCUAGUAAUUUAGGAAAAAUUGUUCAUGAUAAUGUUUUGCUACGUUCAUCUUUGAGUGCACUGAGUGACAAUUUGAAUGUUGGCCAUUUUCAUUGCCGAAGUUUAAUCUUACUCAAGAUAUGCUAGGAUGUCUAAAGUUAGAAAUAUUUGCGAAAAGCCGUCGGUUCCCUCACAAAGGGUGGAGUUAUAGGGCUAUACAUUUUGUCGAAGUGAUCGCCUUAUUCAGGGAGGUGGUGGUGUCUUUAUCUAUUUCGGGAGCAAUUAGGUGUAAAGUUGUGUUUAAAAACAGUCCAUAUGGCAUUCCUGCACUCAAUAAAAGCAGUAAUUGCAAAAAAAAAAUAUAUAUAUAUUGCUGCUGGGUAGACGGAAGAUACUUGUUGGUGUAAUGCUAUUGAGCGUGAUAAUAAUUGUUGGUGUAGUGCUAUUAAGCGUGAUAAUAAUGAUCUGGUGGUUUGUUAUUUUGAUGUGUGACUUCAAUAAUGAUAUCUUCUGGUUUGAUUCGUCGGUGAAGGUAAAGGAUUCGUGCAGUAGAAUUGGUGUUUAUCAAUAUAAAUACAGGUAGAUAUACACAACAAUUUAAUUAUUUAAUCUUGGUAUGCUUACAAAAUCUCGCAACCUACAAAGAAUAUUUAUUUUUACUUGCUAUUUAUACUUUUUCGAUUUCAUUAAUACUAGCAUUAAAUGUAAAGUAAGCAAUAAAUUAAUUUAGACAAUAACCCAUGCAACGUGAAAUCAAUCGAGGUGUUUCUUUAUUUAGGUUA